UGCUCAGCCCCCGGGGCACAGCAGGACGUUUGGGGGCCUUCUUUCAGCAGGGGACAGCCCGAUUGGGGUGAGCGUCCCCCACUCCUUCCCUCCAGGCCUCACCCCUGGUCUGGCUGGGCCGCCUAUUUUGGGAGCAGGAGUGGCCAGCCCGAGGCUUCCCAGGCAGGCCAACCCAAGAGGGAGGGAGUGUGGUUGAGGCAGUGGGUUCUGCAGGGUGGGAUGUGGGUGACUCCUCCCUGCCCUGCUGGUGCGUGUGCACCCUGGCAGGGUGUGGAGUUGGGACACACACGUGUGUAGGGCUGGUUGCGUCACUGCGUGGGGGCACCGGAGGCCCAGAGGAGGAGUAUUGGAUGCCUGACGGUGUUUACACCCCACGUCCUGCUCCAACCAGCAGUUUGGGGAGAGGUUGUUGUUCAUGUCCAUUCCGGCCCCACUGUGUGUGUGUGUGUGUGUGUGUGUGUGUGUGUGUGUGUGUAUCCCUGCCCCAGCAUGUGUUUUCUAUCUCUAAGGCCCACUGGGCUGGGCCUCAUGUCACUUGCCUGACAUCCGAUUGUGAAAGAUGUCACCCAGAGGCGGGCAGAGGGGCUGUCUUUUCCUUUUCUCGUUGCUGCCCAGGGAGGAGACGGGGUGACCUUUCCCACAGGGGCAGCCUGUGGCGAUGUGGCAGCUGGGCCUCACCCCGGCAGGGCUGUGCGUGACCCCCUGAGUGGGGGAAGGCAGGCUGUUGCCAUGGUGGCCUGAGCGAGCAGAAUUCCUCCAGGGUGAAGUGGGAGAUAUUUAUACCCGGGGUCAGGCCGCGAGCGGGCGGGCGGAGAGGGCAGGGAGCUGGGAUUUCGCGGGGCACAGUGAGGCCGGGCAUGUAGGCAGGUGGGACUUGGGCGUGCCCUGCUGUCUCCUGCUCUGUGUUUGUGUGAGGCAGCGCCUCCUCUGCCCUGCCAGGGUAGGUCUGGGAAUCGGGGGCCUGCUGCGGGAGGUGGAGGCCCAAGGGAGGCCCCCCGGGGACUGUGUGUCUCACCCCCGUCCCUGCUACGUUGUGUUGUUGUGUGAUCCCAUCGUGGAGGUUGUUUUGGUGACACUGUGUCCCCACGAAGCUGGGGAUACCCGUUUCUCUAGCUUGGAGCCACCAAGAUAGAGGACAAACACUUCUGUGAUUCAGUCCCCAGACUGUCUCUGACUUAAUCCCUUGGGUUCAAGCCCUAUGUGGGAGAGCAAGGGCACACACUGCCUAAUCCGUGGUGUCCCCCCCAGGACAAUGGCGUCUCUUGGCCACAUCUUGGUUUUCUGUGUGGGUCUCCUCACCAUGGCCAAGGCAGGACUCCCCUGGCACCUGACAUCUCCCACGCUCCACCUGCGCGCCCACCGCCCCCUCCGCCGCCCCUUCCCCAGCCCUGCCCCCGCAGACUCCCCCUGCCGCCAAGACUUCCAAUAAAACGUGCGUUCCUCUCG
rnacentral:lncRNA from 1 species